rnacentral:rRNA from 1 species
UACGUAGGGUGCAAGCGUUAAUCGGAAUUACUGGCGUAAAGCGUGCGCAGGCGGUUUUGUAAGUCUGUCGUGAAAUCCCCGGGCUCAACCUGGGAAUUGCGAUGGAGACUGCAAGGCUAGAAUCUGGCAGAGGGGGGUAGAAUUCCACGUGUAGCAGUGAAAUGCGUAGAGAUGUGGAGGAACACCGAUGGCGAAGGCAGCCCCCUGGGUCAAGAUUGACGCUCAUGCACGAAAGCG